rnacentral:misc_RNA from 1 species
GAAUGAAGAACGUAGCGAAAUGCGAUAAGUAAUGUGAAUUGCAGAAUUCAGUGAAUCAUCGAAUCUUUGAACGCACAUUGCGCCCGGGAGCAUUCUCCCGGGCAUGCCUGUUCGAGCGUCAUUUCAACCCUCGAUUUCCCUUUGGGGAAGUCGGCCGUUGGAGAUCGGCAGCACUGCCGGCUCCCAAAUACAGUGGCGACCCGCCGCGGGGACCCCUGCGUAGUAACUUACACUCGCACCGGAAACCAGACGUGUCACGCCGUAAAACCCCCAACUUUCUGAACGUUGACCUCGGAUCAGGUAGGAAUACCCGCUGAACUUAAGCAUAUCAAUAAGCGGAGGA